UUCUAAGGAUGCACUGCAAAGGUAGAUUCCUCUUACUGCUCAGACGAGAAUUUCUUCUUUUCCAAGAGCCAGGUUAUUUGUAAGUAAGGCCCUUCGAGUUUCCAUCUAGCUGCUGGGCAGGAAUGUGAGCCACGAAGGAGCAGUGAAAGCCACCUGAAAUUUUCAGUCUCCAGGAAUAGAUGGAAAACAGUGUGCUCCAUCAGGUUGGAGGAACUCCUCAGCUGUUUAAAUGUAUGCUCAAGUAUUAUAAAACUAUGUUUUACAGAGUUCUUUUAUUACGGUUAUGUGAGGCUUGAUCACAUAAAGUUAUAUGGGCAACACACUGGUGCUGGAAUGAAGUUCUUAUGGCUUUGUUUUGAUUUCCACAAGGAAAAAGAAUGCAUUUGAAAUGCACCAUGGAGCUGCAGAUAGAAAUCUUGGUAAAAGCAGAGCAGACUUUGAAUUCUGCUUGCCACAGGGUAUAAAUUACAGCUAUCUCCUUUCUGGACCUUUUUGGGGUUUUUUGAAUUUUUUUGGCUAGAGGACCUGUACCUUCACACCAAGUUUUGCAAAGGUUUCCUUGUCUCGUCUGCAAUUCUGUGGCUGUUGUGUGAGCUUUAUCUGAGUGAGGGCUGUAAAUUGGAGCCCAGCAUUGUGAAAAAUGGUGUAAAUCCAAACUCAAAUAUAAGCAAAUCCUAUAAAGGAAAACUGAUAUGACAGCUCCUGGUUCUUUCUGGUAUUAUGAAUGCAAUUAAGAGUGUUAAAAAUGUGUUGCAAACACUGUAUUGUUAUGCUAAUCAGUGUCUUUUUGUUUCUCUCCUAAUGCCUUUCACCUGCAAUGAUUGGAAACACUUGAAAUGAUUGGAUAUUUGGCAUUUUCCGGUUUUCAUCUUAACUCUUCUGGAAAUUCCUACCUGCAGCACCACUUAGAGCCUUCUGCAAAGAUGAGGACCUGUUUGGUGGUGCUUGAGGACAGAGGAAUCAAACCAGGGUUUCUUUGCAAGGAGCUGAAUGAUGCCUGUGCAAAUCUGUGGAUGUGAGAAUUAACUGUGAGAUGCAGGAUCCUGCAUUGUGAUCCCUUCCAGCACCAGUCUCCAGAGACCUGAGCUCAAAAAAGUUGAGGAUUCAGGCUCGUUGAGCAUCUUGAACAUGGGAGAUGCAACAAAAUUUUCAUUUGAAGAAAGACUGGAGCCUGCCCAUCAGCUUUCCUAGUUUUAGAAAUUGUUUCUUCCAAGCCUCUCCUGGCAUGGAUGGGUUUUUCUUGCUUCCCAGAAAAGUUCACCAGGCAAAAACAGCAAAUCCAAACCUGUGAGCACAUGAGCAUCUUCACAAAUGUGCCAUCAUUGCAGGUUUAUGAAAUGAUCCUGGUAGGUGCUAAGUCUGCUUUUAUGUAGAGAUAAGUAUGUUAAAAGACCUAUGGGUCUUUAGGAAUCAGUUAUAAAGGACCACAGGUGAUAUGAUAAUGAUUUGCAUUUCAGGCUGCUUUUUUGUACAUCUCUUUCUUCUGGGAAGCCUGGUGGCUGCACAGUUAUCACCUGUUGCUCAAACACAGCAGUUUUGGGUUGCUGGGAGGUUUUUUUUGCAAUAAACUAUUUUUCAUUUCAGUAGCA
rnacentral:lncRNA from 1 species